rnacentral:rRNA from 1 species
GUUUACAAACAUACUACCCUGAACAUGUCCGAUCUGGUCUAAUCUUGGACGCUAAGCAGGGUCGGGCCUGGCUAGUACUUGGAUGGGAGAGGGGACAGACAUUAUAACUCUACCCCCCAAGCUAGGAAACAUCUUUUGUGCAAUCC